AGUACGAUCGCAAGAUUAAAACUCAAAGGAAUUGACGGGGCCCCGCACAAGCAGCGGAGCAUGCGGCUUAAUUCGACGCAACGCGAAGAACCUUACCAAGGCUUGACAUAUACAGGAAUAUGGCAGAGAUGUCAUAGCCGCAAGGUCUGUAUACAGGUGGUGCAUGGUUGUCGUCAGCUCGUGUCGUGAGAUGUUGGGUUAAGUCCCGCAACGAGCGCAACCCUCGUUCUGUGUUGCCAGCAUUUAGUUGGGGACUCACAGGAGACUGCCGGGGUUAACUCGGAGGAAGGUGGGGAUGACGUCAAAUCAUCAUGCCCCUUAUGUCUUGGGCUGCACGCAUGCUACAAUGGCUGGUACAAACGGCUGCAAUACCGCAAGGUGGAGCGAAUCCGAGAAAGCCAGUCUCAGUUCGGAUUGGGGUCUGCAACUCGACCCCAUGAAGUCGGAGUUGCUAGUAAUCGUAGGUCAGCAACGCUACGGUGAAUACGUUCCCGGGGCUUGUACACACCGCCCGUCACGUCACGAAAGUCGGUAACACCCGAAGUCAGUGGCCCAACCGCAAGGAGGGAGCUGCCGAAGGUGGGAUCGGUGAUUGGGAUG
rnacentral:rRNA from 1 species